rnacentral:tRNA from 1 species
GAGAGAGUUAUAGCAAGAACUGCUAAUUCAUGCUCCCCAUAUUUAAACAUAUGGCUUUCUCG